rnacentral:rRNA from 1 species
GACGAACGCUGGCGGCGUGCUUAACACAUGCAAGUCGAACGAAGAGCGAUGGAAGCUUGCUUCUAUCAAUCUUAGUGGCGAACGGGUGAGUAACGCGUAAUCAACCUGCCCUUCAGAGGGGGACAACAGUUGGAAACGACUGCUAAUACCGCAUACGAUCUGACCUCGGCAUCGAGGAUAGAUGAAAGGUGGCCUCUACAUGUAAGCUAUCACUGAAGGAGGGGAUUGCGUCUGAUUAGCUAGUUGGAGGGGUAACGGCCCACCAAGGCGAUGAUCAGUAGCCGGUCUGAGAGGAUGAACGGCCACAUGGGGACUGAGACACGGCCCAGACUCCUACGGGAGGCAGCAGUGGGGAAUCUUCCGCAAUGGACGAAAGUCUGACGGAGCAACGCCGCGUGUGUGAUGACGGCCUUCGGGUUGUAAAGCUCUGUUAAUCGGGACGAAAGGCCUUUUUGCGAAUAGUGAGAAGGAUUGACGGUACCGGAAUAGAAAGCCACGGCUAACUACGU